GGGGAUGUAAAGGUUUCGACAGCUUUUUUGAAGUAUAGAUAGCGAGUGGUGGACGUACCUGGCCACCUAAAAAGGUACAAAUUAAAAAUAAACGCUGAUAAUAACGAAUUAGCAUUUGCUGCCUAAUUGCAGCAACGUCUUACUUUAGCAACCUACGGCUUUAGAUAAGGCGCCGAUUAGUAGGAAACGAAUUUAUUAUUUCUUCGGUAAUAAAGGGAUUUUAGAAGAUAUGUUCUAAACAAGUUUGUUUGUUAACUUUUUUAGAAUGAGAAAUAAUAACAAACUGCACUCGGAGAAGUUUAUAUGGAUGAAAUUCUGGACAGGAGUUCGACUCUCCUCAUCUCCACCA
rnacentral:tmRNA from 1 species